UGUCAGUCUGUUGAUAACAGUCGAUGGUUUGAACACAAUUCUCUUUGCAUGUGGUUAUAAUGGCUAAUACUUUAAUUUAAUGAUACAAGGACUGACUUUAUUUCGCAAAUUGAUACAAAACAAAUGUAUAAACAUCCAAAAAUGAACAUUUUCCAAAAACUGCUUGUUAAAAUGUUCAUGUAAAACAGUGAGCCUUGAAAAUAGCAAGAAAUAUCCAUCAUUAAAUCUUUAUUCUUUGAGGUAGACUGGGCCGACUGAACUUUGGAGGGAGUAUCAGCAUGAGACAAAAACAGCACUCCAGGUGCAUCGCAGCUGUUACUGAAGAGACAGAGGAGGACAGACCAGAGAUAAUGACAGCAGCAGAAACAACAUGAGCCCAUGGAGAAAUAAAAAAAAGAGACAGUGUCA